rnacentral:lncRNA from 10 species
AAACAAGUUGACCUUUUUGUGUUCCUUGAGCCCAGUCAUGAAUGGCCCUUGUGACUGGGCCUCACACCAAACAACUCAUUACACAAAGAGGUAAGGUCCCAGACCACGCCAAAGCUUCCUGAGACCUCUCCUCAUCUGUGCAUGGACGGAUGACCAACUCUGGGGCCCAGGCUGUUGCUUCCCAGUAUAAUGAUGAAUCCGCCAUAGUCUGGUGAGUGUAGAGGCUGACUCUGGAGCCCAGGCUGUACCUUCUCGGUCUGGUGAUGAAUCCUCAAUCGUGUGUUUUAAAACACUUUAGGGAAUAGGAAGAGCAAGAUGACUAAAAAAAUCUCUCCAAUGAUAACCCUACCACAGGAACACCGAAUUGAAUAACUAUACAUGCAAGAAAGAACUUCCAUAAAAACCAAAAAAAAAUAAGCAAUCACAGUACCUGAUUAUAACAUCAUAUCAAGAAAAGAAGCACUGAAGAGGGUAGCCAGGGUAGUCUUGCAUUGCCUACAUCAUCCCUCCUCCAUCCCCCAGCAGUACAAAGAGAGAUAAUGUAUGUGCUUGUGGGAGGGGGAGUCAAGGACUUUGGUAUUUGUAUUGGAAUUCAGUGCUACCUUGUCCCAGUGGAACACAACACAGGGCAGAAUUUAGCCAGUGCCAACAGAGGAGGCAUUUAGACUAACCCCAGUCAAAAGGUAAUCUUUUACUCCAGCAGUGGGAACCUGAGCUCUGGCUAGCUCCAUCAAUGCCUGAUUAAUGUAGCCUGGGGUCCUGGAUAAACUUGAAAGACAGUCAGGCUCAAGGCUUGCAGUCCUUGGGUAAGUCCUGUUGCUUUGCUGAGCUUGGAGACAGUGGUAUUGAGAUACCCACAGCUCAGUGAGACAAAAGCUGGAGUGGCCAAGGGAAUGCUUGCAUCAGCUCUUCUCCAACUCCAGGAAGCACAACUCAUAGCUCCAGGAGAGACUCCUUCCACUUGCAGAAAGGAAAAGGAAGAGUAAAAAGAACUUUGUCCUGUGACUUAGAUACACUUUCAGCCACAGUUUAAAAAUAACAAUAAUAAAAAAAUAAAAGCAUAAAGCAGAGUCCUGAGACCUCCAAUUCCAGACCCUAGGUCUUGGAUGACAUUUCUAAACCCACCCUGGGCUAGAAGGGAACCCACUAACCUGAAGUGAAAAACCAAGCCUUGGCAGGAUGCAACACAUGCUGACUAAAGGGACCUUGAUAGGGCUACAUGAGUGGUAGCCAGGCAGUAGUCACCAUGGGCCUUGGACUAGACCCAUUACCGUGCUGGCUUCAAGUGUGACCCAGCAUAGUCCCAACUUUGGUGGCCCUGGAAGUGUUUGCAUCAUCCCUCCCCCAAUUUCAGUCAGCCCAGCACAGAGAGACAAACACUUGUUUGGGGAAAAGUGAGAGAAGAGGAUGAGAGACUCCCUGGUAUUCCAGGAAAUGCUCCCAGAUCUUAUUCAAGUCCACCCAUGAUAUACCUCUGCAAGUAUGCAAAUAUGGCAUCACUACUGGACUUGUGGCACUCCCUAGUGCAGAUAUAGCUGCAGUAACCAAAGACUUAAGUUGCAACUCUAGAUAUGGGAAAGUCUUCUCGAGAAGUAUAAAUCCAAACAAGAAAGAACUGCAAAGAUUAGAAUACCUAAACUCUUCAGCGCCCAAACAUCAUGAACAUCAACAAGCAUCAAGAAUAUACAAGAAAACAUGACCUGACCAAAUGAACAAAAUAAGGCACCACUGACCAAUCCUGGAGUGAGAGACAUAUGUGACUUUUCAAAAGAGAACUCAAAAUAGGUUUUUUUGAGGAAGCUUAACCAAUUUCACAGUAACACAAAUAAGGAAUUUAGAAUUCUAUUAGAAAACAUUUACAAAGAGAUUGAAAUAAUAGAAAAAUCAAGUAGAUAUUUAGAAGUUUAAAAAUUCAAUUAACAAAAUGAAAACAUGCAUCAGAGUAUUUUAAUAGCAGAAAUUAUUAGGCUGAAAAAAAAUAGUGAACUUGGAGAUCGGCUACUGAAAAUGCACAGUAAGAGAAAGCAAAAGAAAAAAGGAUGAAAAAGAAUGAAGUAAACCAACAAGAUCUAGAAAAAGGCCUCAAAAAAAUCUAAUCAUUACUGGUCUAAAAGAGGAGGUAUAGCAAGAGGUUGGGGUAAAAGUCUAUUCAAAGAAAUAAUAACAGUGAACUUUUGAAACCUAAAGAAAGUUAUCAAUAUUCAAGUUUAAGAAAGUAAUAGAACACCAAGUGGAUUUAACACAUUAAGACUACUUCAAGACAUUCAAUAAUCAAACUCCCAAAACAAAAAGAUAAAGAAAGAAUCCUAAAUGCAGCAAGAAAAAACAAGCAAAUAACAUACAAAGGAGUGUCAGUAUCCAGUGAAAAUACCUUUAAAACAUAAAGGAGGCCAGGCACGGUGGCUCAUGCCUGUAAUCCCAGCACAUUAGCAGGCUGAGGCAGGUGGAUGCACGACGUCAGGAGUUUGAGACCAGCCCGGCCAACAUGGUGAAACCCCGUCUCUAGUAAAAAUACAAAAAUUAUCUGAGUGUUGUGGCGUGCACCUGUAACCCCAGCUGCUUGAGAGGCUGAGGCAAGAGAAUUGCUUGAACCCAGGAGUCAGAGGUUGUAGUGAGCCGAGAUCGGAGAUCGUGCCAUUGCACUCCAGCUGGGGUGACAGAGCAAGACUCUUUCACAAAAAAAAAAAAAAAAAAAAAAAAACACACACACGCACACACAUAAAGGAGAAAUAUUUUCCCAAUGAGCGUUAAGAAAUUUGGAAAACACCAGACCUGUCAUUCAAGAAAUGUAAAAGGAAGUUCUUGAUUCUAAAAAGAAAGAAUGUUAAUGAGCAAUAAGAAAUUAUCUAAAGGUAAAAACUCACAGGUAACAGUGAGUACACAAAGAAUAUUCUGACAAUGUAUUCGCUGUGUGUAAACCAUUCAUAUCUUGAGUAGUAAGACUAAAAGACAAACUUAUUUAAAAUAAUAACUAAAAUACUUUUUAAGGUGUAGAUACUGCAAAGGACAUGAACUCAUUCUUUUUUAUAGCUGCAUAGUAUUCCAUGAUGUAUAUGUACCACAUUUUCUUUAUGCAGUCUAACAUUGAUGGGCAUUUGGGUUGGUUCCAAGUCUUUGUUAUUGUGAAUAGUGCUUCAAUAAACAUGCGUGCAUGUGUCUUUAUAGUUGAAUGAUUUAUAAUCCUUUGGGUAUAUACCCUGUAAUGGCAUUGCUGAGUCAAAUGGUAUUUCUGGUUCUGGAUUCUUGAGUAAUCAACACACUGUCUUCUACAGUGGUUGAAUUAAUUUACACUCCCACCCACAGUAUAAAAGCGGAUACAUUACUAGACAUACACAACUUACCAAAAAAAAAAAAAAAUAGUAAAAGCAUUUCUAUUUCUCCACAUCCUCUCCAGCGUCUGUUGUUUCCUGACUUUUUAGUGAUUGCCAUUCUAACUGGCAUGAGAUGGUAUCUAAUUGUGGUUUGAUUUACAUUUCUCUAAUGACCAGUGAUGAUGAGCUUUUUUUCAUAUGUUUGUUGGCUGCAUAAAUGUCUUCUUUUGAAAAGUGUCUGUUUAUAUCCUUCGCCCACUUUUUGAUAAGGUUGUUUGCUUUUUUCUUGUAAAUUUGUUUAAGUUUCUUGUAAAUUCUGGAUAUUAGCCCUUUAUCAGAUGGAUAGAUUGCAAAAAUUUUCUCCCAUUCUGUAGGCUGCCUGUUCACUCUGAUGAUAGCUCCUUUUGCUGUGCCAAAGCACUUCAUUCUCAGCAAACUAACACAGGAAUAGAAAACCAAACACCACAUGUUCUCACUCAUAAGUGGAAGUUGAACAAUGAGAACAUAUGGGCAGAGGGAGG